UCCCCGCUUUCUCCCCACCUAGACUAAAGCUGGGGAGUCACACCUGUCUUUCUAUUCUGGAGGCUGACAAGAAUUAUCAGUAAAACCACACAGGCAAUAAAAUAAAAUAAAAUAAACUGGAGCAGUCUGCUGGUUCUGUCAACAGUAAGAAGAAUGAGUUCCAGACGCUGCCGAAAUAAAACAGGUUUGACUAGUGUUAUCAUUCAUUUUAUUUUGAUGCUUCUCCGGCAGCAUCAAGAGAAGCCACUGAGGACCAGAGAACAGUGAAGACCCCGAGGACAUCAGUUAAUACUGAAGUGUCUUUAAAAGCCAACCAGCGUCAGUGGCCUGGCUUUGCUACCCUGGGCUCCCAUCCACAUGGCUCGGGACCAACGGAGAUUCAGAGAGGAAAGCCUUUGCAAACAUGCUGACUGCAUUGUGCAAGAUGAAAAGACAAAGCUGCAUACAGAGAAACUUCUGAGAACACUUCCAGGACAUGCUUGUUCUGUGACAGGUAUCACACCGUCACAGAACAAACACCAAGUCUCUACCCACUGGACUGUGGAGCCCUGGGCCAGAGCUCAGCAAGGCAGAAUGGCAGCCUAGCCACAAGAACCCACUGUGGCCAGCUUGUUUUUCUUCGGAACCUUUUCAAAAGCAUGCUGGGAAUUCUCCCUCACUGCAGUUUCGUUUAUCUAAGAGCAUCGUGGCAUUUUUCAGAUUACCGAGAAGUCUAUUGUCAUGUGAUGGUUGACACAGUGGAUAAGGAGAUCAGGACCGAUUGCUCCUGCAGACUGUUUCCUGGUAUGGAUGAUAAGCAUUAGUAGAUAAAAAUGCAACCAACUGGGACCCGGCAGGAACUGGAAGAGUGCUUCUAAUACAAAGUCUGGUGUAAAUUCAGCCCUUAAGAAAAAUCAGAGAAAAUGUAAGAGUCUGAGAAAAAUGUAAAACCUCGAAAUUGAGUGUUACUUAGUUACCUGGGGAUGUAGCUGAGUGGUAGAGCAUUUGCCUAGCCGUGUAAGGUCCUGGGCUCCAUCCCUAGCACUGUUUUUUAAAAAAAUGGAUGAUUGAAAUGGUGGAUGUAGAUAUAAGCAAAUCUGUGUGUGUACAGAUGUAGUUUUUUCUUUCUUACUAGGAUCAAGUAACUUUUUUCUUCUCUAAAAAAUUAGUUUUAUUAACUCUUUGCAAAUUUCAUUAAAAGUAUUAGGAUUAUAGUCACUUGCGCUUCCCCAACUCCUCCCAGAUACACCCCUGUUUACUUACCCAUCCAACUUUGUGGUCACCUGCUACUUUUUCUCCCCUCUGAAAACCAGCUAUGUCUGAUUUGUGCUGCCCAAGUACUCUUGGGUCUGAGGCCAUCCUCUAGAGCAUGGUCAGCCUACCAGGGACCACACACUUACAGAAAACCGACUUCCCUUCCCCCAGCAUCUGUCCAUUGCCAAUGGCUCUUCAAAGCCCACCUCUCCUCUCAACACUGGGGUUUGGACUGGCUUGAGCUUGCACGGCCUUGCGCACGCUGUCACCACCCCUGUGAGUUCGUACGCACAGACUUCCCUCCUGUGUCUGGAAAGCGCUAUUUCCCUCUGGUCUAGACAUCCACACCACCUCUGGCUUUUACAGUCUUUACACCCCCCUAUUCCACAGUGAUAGCUGAGCCUUGGGAGAAGGGGGUGUGAGACAGGUGUCCCAUUUGAGGCUGAGCCUCUCUGCACCUUGACCAGUUGUUAAUCAUCAUCUACUGCAAAAAGAAGCUUCUCAGACAAGGGGUGAGAGGCUCACUAAUCUGCCGCUGGGACCAGCACACAUUCACAUCUAAAGGAGCCGGUAACAAUCAGCACCAUGAUACAGAACAAUCACACAGAGGUCUUUUAUGUACCAACUCAGCUUCUAAUUUUGAGGCAAAAUUUAGAAUUUAUAAAUCCUGGUAGGAUAACACAUCUACAGCAGUGACAAAAGUAAAAACACUAGAACUCACAUAUUUAUGACUAAGUGACCACCACAAGCAGACUCAUUUUCUUAUGUAUAAGUACAUGCCUUAUAUAUAAAAACAAAUAUUUACCUAGUCAGGCAAAUAGACAUACACCUUGGCUCCAAAUGGCAGGUUUUUAAUCUUAAUGGUAUUAAUUCAAAAUAGUAGAACUGUCAAAGGAACGUCACUGUUCAUUUUCUAUGGUGAUAGUCCAUACAUAGUGUGUAUUGCAUGAAACAGCACUUAUUGGCCACAUUGCCUAUGUUGAACUUACACAUGCUUAACUCUGCAAUCUUAUAAUAAUACACAGAGUUUGGACACACAGCUCCAUGUGUUUCUAGUCACAGAUAUACAGGGAAUGAGAUCUUUUUAAAUAGUUGCUUAUAAAGUGGGAAUUUUAAAGACUUAAAUGUAUAUUAAAUCAACCUUGACUCUGGCAAGACAGUUUUCGAACAGGUCUUGUUUUCUGCGCAACUAAAUCAGCAGAAAACAAGCAAUUGUCUUACUAAUAUAUAAAAUCAUGAUAAGAGGCAGAGGAAAGUGGAGCUCUGUAAGUUCAAGGCCAGCCUGGUCUACAUACGGAGUUCUUGGCCAGCCAGAGCUAUACAAUGAGAUCCUGACUCUCCGCCACCUCCCCACCUCCCAGAAAAACCCUGUGUUGUCCUAGAUUCAAAUCAUUCCACCAGGAAAGGAAUUCAGAAUCAACCUGUCAACUCAUUAGUUAAUAUUCUAACUGGCUGAGGUUUUUUUUUUUUCUUUCAGUCCAAAUUCUACAGUGUAAAAGUAAAUUGUUACAUUUUAGCUAGAUUUUCAAAGAAAGAGAGAAAAACCAGCAACACAUACUAAUAUAGUACAGAAUUUGUGCCCUAAUAUCUACAUCCAUCCAUCCAUGGACACACACACAUAGACCCCAAAUCGGCCACGUCUAGAAGAGAAAUUUUAGUUUGCAAUAAGCUCAACAAAGAAAUUCAAAACUGAAGCACCCAGAGGUUUGCCAUGCAUUGUUUUCAGGACCUCUAGGGGGAAGAUAAGACAUGCCCCAUGCUACCUUAGAGACUAAUAUAAGUUUACAGAAGACUAGCCAGAUAGGGUUCUCCGUAGGGGGACCAAGAUAGUACACACUUAAUAUUUUCAUGGUCAUAUGAAUGACCACACAGGUCUCAAUACCAUUGCUUCUCUGACUCAAUCAGUUCAAUGGAGCCCCAAAGAGCAGCACGUUUCAACUUUCCCUGUCACUCAGCAGAUGCCCCAAAUUCCAACAGAACUCCAAAUUUGUUCACAAGAGCUUCCAAGUGGAUAAGGCUUGUCAUACAAAUGGUGCAACAGCCCAAAUAGUUCAACAAACCAAAACAGUUCGGAAAAACUCUGAAAGACACUCAAUCACCAGAUGGCAGGCCCCCGAAAUGGUUCCAACAGUUGAAAGGAGCCUCUAGGCCAACGUAAUAGAAAAGCCCAAGGUCCAGUGAUUGGGGAAAUUGUAUAAGAGUCAGACUGUCAUCAAGUCAAAAACAAAGGCCAGCUACUCACUUCUCUGCCUCACCAAACAGUGGUAAACAGCAGUUGAUGGAGGCUGAAGGGGAAGAUGUGCUUGGAAGGAAGUGAUUCUGUCAGCUCCAUGGAACUGUUUAGUCUGUCCUCUCCAUGCAGGGCCAACU